rnacentral:tRNA from 1 species
GCUCUAAUAGCUUAAACUAAAGCAUUGUUCUUGUAAACCAAAGUUGGGACCUUCCCCCUCAGAGCA